GGCCGGGGAUUCUUGGUGCCUGACCCGCCGCCUCCCACGGGACUCCUGCGCGGGACAAAAGUGACAGGAGCCGGACCAGCUCCGAGUUCUGCCCCUCCGUCCUGCUGCGACUCUGCUCCACGGACUGAAGGCGCCUUAGGAUGAUACCGGAUGGAAACACGCUCGUUCUCCUCUACUCGGUAGAAAAAAUCUGGGAUUUCUGAAGGACGUCAUAGUUAGUGAAAGUGGCACAGAAGCCUGAGGGCGCAGGCACAUUGAGGCCCGGAGUCUGUGGCCAGUUAAAUGUGGGUAUACUGACAUGGAGCUCCGAAUGAAUGCAGAACUCCGACGGUCGAACAACAGGCCCCCAGGUGACAACCGCAGCCUCUCGGUCUGACGUCAUCCAUUUUCCAGUUCUUUGCUUCACUUCUUCUGUCCACGAAUCGCCCCGAUCCUGACCGGCGGGCGCGCUCGCGAAGCACCAGAAUCGGCGGUGCCUCCACCGCGCUGCGCACCCCCUGCCCCCCCGGGAUGCCCCUGAUGUAGACUCCAUGGGGCAGGGACCUUGGGUUUGCUCACGGUGCAGUCCCUCGCUUACAACAUUGCCUGGCACUUAGUAGGAGCCCAAUAAAUGCUCGGUGAAGGAGUCCAUUCCGCCGCAGGGUCCUGGAGGGGACACGAAAGGCACCAAGAAUUUCACCUUGCACUGUCAGUUUUAGUUUUGGAGAAUACCCCGAAUGGGAAGACGUGAAAGGCAGCCAUUCUUUAAAAUCUUUAUACUCGAAGCUGUUUUAGAACCAGGUCAAGGUCCCGAUCGUGGAAACGUCUAGAGGACACAACCUAGAAUGUCACUGAGUUUCCCACCCUGGAAGGUGCGGCGGCCUCAGCCUAGGGGACGCCGGUGGGCGCAGGGAGAAAGGUGAACGAGGAAAGCUGAAGAGAAGAAAGCGGGUGGCAGUCUGGAGAGCAAGGAAGAAAGGGCAAAGGGAGGACAGGAGUGAAAAGAAAGCUGAGAGGCACCAACACUAGCUGCUGAAAGAAAAACCAGUUAGAAAACGUUGCGGCUAUUGAGGUCAAUUAAUAGCCCUCAACCACAGCACACCCAGUCGGUGGCGUGCGGUGAUGGUUAGUGGUUAGUACUCCGCGAUGCGACCCUAGUAACCUUGGCUUGAAUCUGAGUUGUGACGUUGUCUAACUCGCUAUUUUCCUCUUUAAACAAACCCCCAGUAAAGCCGGAGAUACGGUGCGAUUUCCCGCUUUGAAACUGGUGACCGUCGGCAGUUAGAUCGGGCUCUCGAGGUCCCCCGUGGCGGUGCUCCCAGCCUGAGCCCUCCACCCGCCUAACCUGGGGUAAGGCCGCAGGUCGCCGCGAGCCAAAGUCUGCAGCGCCCGCAUUCCGCACCCCUUAUCCCGGCUCCCGCCCUCGCCCCCCAAGGGGCAAGGCAAAGACUACAAAAGGGCCUGACGGGCUGUGAGAAAGGAAACAGCGUGCAUCUGGAACCACUAACUUUAAUUUAUGCGUCAGACUCUGAAGAAAAGCAUCCAGCAUGGUUGGGAAACGAAUUCUUAGGAGAAGUUUAGGCAACCGACCUACUAUUAAGUAGAAGACAUCCCAGCUUUUCAUCAUCUAGUUUGUUCAGUCCGUAAUGUAUGGUUUCUGCUGUCUCAAUUAUCAUACAGUGAAACUGACUUUCUUUUGGUACAAAUUCUCCAUAAUUAGAAUACAUAAGUUUCAUCUCACCAAAAAUCUUAGUGCUAUCUUGUUACAGUGUUACAGUCACAUCUCCCCCGCAAACAUAAGCCCUUGGGAUCACUGAUCUGUUCAUCACUAUAGUUCUGUCUUUUUGAGAAUGUCCUAAGAAUGGAAGUAUAUAGUAUGUAGCCGUUUGAGACUGGCUUCUUUUACUCAGCACAGUGACUUAGGGAUUUCUUUAAGUUGUUGUAUACAUCAAGAAUUCCUUUUUAUUGUUGGGUAUUCCAUCCAGUGGGUGAACCACUGUUUUGUCUAUCAAUUAAUCCCUUGAAAGAUAUUCGAUGAUUGUACUUUCAGCUCUUACAAAUAAAGCCUAUGAGAAUUCCUGUA